CUCUCUUGUAUUAUUUUAAUUUUAAUAUUCAUAUGACAUAUAUUUAUAAUCAGAAAAUCCUAAACAUAUAUCCUAAUCUUAAUCGAAAUCCUGGUCCGAUUGGAUUAUCCAUUAACCGUCAAGUUGGUUAUAAUAUUAAUCGAAUUCGAAUCCUGAUUCGAUUCGUGUGUAACAUUUACACAUAAGUCCUCAUAUUAUUUACUAACGAUUAGUAAAUACAUCAUGCAUCUUUUACACAUAAAUACCUCUAAUUUACAAUAAUUAUAAAUUAGUCCUUUUACAAAUAAAUUAGUAAACUUUAGUAUUUAACUAUAUUAUAAUUACAAUUAAACCAUCAAAUAAACUUCUUUUAUCGUUUCCU
rnacentral:lncRNA from 1 species